UAAGAAUAUUCCGCAAUGGGCGAAAGUCUGACGGAGCGACGCCGCGUGGAUGAAGAAGGCCGAAAGGUUGUAAAAUCCUUUUGUCGAUGAAGAAUAAGCAUGGGAGGGAAUGCCCGUGUGAUGACGUUAGUCGGCGAAUAAGCCCCGGCUAAUUACGUGCCAGCAGCCGCGGUAACACGUAAGGGGCGAGCGUUGUUCGGAAUUAUUGGGCGUAAAGGGCGCGUAGGCGGUCUUGUAAGCCCGGCGUGAAAACCUGGAGCUCAACUCCGGGCCUGCGCUGGGAACUGCGGGACUAGAGUCAUGGAAGGGAAGUUGGAAUUCCAGGUGUAGGGGUGAAAUCUGUAGAUAUCUGGAAGAACACCGGUGGCGAAGGCGAACUUCUGGCCAAUGACUGACGCUGAGGCGCGAAAGUGCGGGGAGCAAAC
rnacentral:rRNA from 1 species